UACAGAGGUCUCAACCGUUGUUCGGAUUCAUUGGGCGUAAAGGGUGCGUAGGCGGCGGGGUAAGUCAGGUGUGAAAUCUCGGGGCUCAACCCCGAAACUGCACUUGAUACUGCCUCGCUUGAGUACUGGAGAGGAGACUGGAAUUUACGGUGUAGCAGUGAAAUGCGUAGAUAUCGUAAGGAAGACCAGUGGCGAAGGCGAAUCUCUGGACAGUUACUGACACUGAGGCACGAAGGCCAGGGGAGCAAACAGG
rnacentral:rRNA from 1 species